UACGUAGGAUGCGAGCGUUGUCCGGAUUUACUGGGUGUAAAGGGAGCGCAGGCGGAUUGGUAAGUCGGUGGUGAAAUCCUCAGGCUCAACCUGGGAACUGCCACCGAAACUGCUGAUCUUGAGUAUGGAAGAGGUCGAUGGAAUUCCUGGUGUAGCAGUGAAAUGCGUAGAUAUCAGGAAGAACACCGAUGGCGAAGGCAGUCGACUGGUCCAUAACUGACGCUCAUGCUCGAAAGCGUGGGGAUCAAACAGG
rnacentral:rRNA from 1 species